UAGGGAAUCUUCCACAAUGGACGCAAGUCUGAUGGAGCAACGCCGCGUGAGUGAAGAAGGUCUUCGGAUCGUAAAGCUCUGUUGUUGGUGAAGAAGGAUAGAGGCAGUAACUGGUCUUUAUUUGACGGUAAUCAACCAGAAAGUCACGGCUAACUACGUGCCAGCAGCCGCGGUAAUACGUAGGUGGCAAGCGUUGUCCGGAUUUAUUGGGCGUAAAGCGAGCGCAGGCGGAAUGAUAAGUCUGAUGUGAAAGCCCACGGCUCAACCGUGGAACUGCAUCGGAAACUGUCAUUCUUGAGUGCAGAAGAGGAGAGUGGAACUCCAUGUGUAGCGGUGGAAUGCGUAGAUAUAUGGAAGAACACCAGUGGCGAAGGCGGCUCUCUGGUCUGCAACUGACGCUGAGGCUCGAAAGCAUGGGUAGCGAACAGGAUUAGAUACCCUGGUAGUCCAUGCCGUAAACGAUGAGCGCUAGGUGUUGGGGGACUUUCCGGUUCUCAGUGCCGCAGCAAACGCAUUAAGCGCUCCGCCUGGGGAGUACGACCGCAAGGUUGAAACG
rnacentral:rRNA from 1 species